rnacentral:rRNA from 1 species
UUCAAACUGGGAUUAGAUACCCCACUAUGCCUGAACAUAAAUUCAUGUGCCAAAAGAAUACGAACAUAUUUAAAACUUAAAAGACCUGGCGGUGCCCAAAACCAACCUAGAGGAGCCUGUUACAUAAUCGAUAGUCCACGAUAAACCCCACCAACUCUCGCAUCUCACCGUCUAUAUACCGCCGUCGACAGCCCAUCUCACGAGAGAUACAGCACACAUAGGCCAACCCCUAGCACGACAGGUCAAGGCGUAGCUUAUGAGUCGGAAAAUAAUGGGCUACACUACUUAACAACACGAAAACUACCCUGAAACGAGCUAGUCGAAGAAGGAUUUAGUAGUAAGAUUAACUAGAAUGUUUAUCUGAACUUAGCUCUUGGGCACGCACACACCGCCCGUCACCCUCC